AGCCCCUCCUCUCUGGCUUCAUCACACAAUACUCCUUCUAAGUUUGAAUGUGUUAAAGUUUUUGUGGAUGAUGAAGAGCUUUGUAGCAAUCUUUUUCGCCAUCCUGCUGUUUUUGGCAACCAUGGAAGCUGAUGGAAAACGAAUGACCCUGGAGAAGGAGCGUGAGCCAAGUAAUCAUCAGCUGGGUCGAAAGGCCGGCAUCGGAGCUAAAGACGAUAUGGAUCUAACGGGAGAAGAUGGUUCUGAUAUAGAACUGAUCGCUUCCAAGAAUAGACUUAUCGAUUCACGUCACCAUAUCUACAUGAACGAUACCAGCCCUAUCCCCCGCAAGCAUCCGUGACACUGAUAAGCUUGCUAGUUGUCUACAGCUUGGUUUGAGCUUUACGGAAUAUGGUGUGCCUAAGAAUAAAACUGGAAAUUAACAUGUUCGAAAAACCCUAAGCAUAUAUAUACACACAUAUAUGCAUAUGAAGUUAUGAACAUGUCAAGUUUCCAUCUCCAUAACAAAAUCAGUGUGCUCAGUUCAGUUAUAUAAACAAUAUCUGUAUGAAAAUCUGGGUCUGCAACUGCCUAAUUAACAUGUGUAAUUAGUGUAAUACAGUUUGCAUGAAAUAAAGAUACCAAGCUUACCUAAA